rnacentral:rRNA from 1 species
UGGGGAAUAUUGGACAAUGGGCGCAAGCCUGAUCCAGCCAUGCCGCGUGAGUGAUGAAGGCCUUAGGGUUGUAAAGCUCUUUCACCGGAGAAGAUAAUGACGGUAUCCGGAGAAGAAGCCCCGGCUAACUUCGUGCCAGCAGCCGCGGUAAUACGAAGGGGGCUAGCGUUGUUCGGAAUUACUGGGCGUAAAGCGCACGUAGGCGGAUAUUUAAGUCAGGGGUGAAAUCCCAGAGCUCAACUCUGGAACUGCCUUUGAUACUGGGUAUCUUGAGUAUGGAAGAGGUAAGUGGAAUUCCGAGUGUAGAGGUGAAAUUCGUAGAUAUUCGGAGGAACACCAGUGGCGAAGGCGGCUUACUGGUCCAUUACUGAAGCUGAGGUGCGAAAGCGUGGGGAGCAAACAGG